rnacentral:SRP_RNA from 1 species
GCUGGGUGUGGUGGUGCAUGCCUGUAAUCCUAGCUACUUGGUGGCUGAGGUGGGAGAAUCACUUGAACCCAGGAAGCGGAGGUUGCAGUGAGCAGAGAUAGGGCCACUGCACUCCAGCCUGGGUGACAGAGCAAGACCCCAUCUCAA